UACGUAGGGUGCAAGCGUUGUCCGGAAUUAUUGGGCGUAAAGAGCUCGUAGGCGGUCUGUCGCGUCUGCUGUGAAAACUCGGGGCUUAACCCCGGGCCUGCAGUGGGUACGGGCAGACUAGAGUGCGGUAGGGGAGACUGGAAUUCCUGGUGUAGCGGUGAAAUGCGCAGAUAUCAGGAGGAACACCGGUGGCGAAGGCGGCUGCCUGGACCAGUCCUGACGCUGAGGCGCGAAAGCUAGGGGAGCAAACAGG
rnacentral:rRNA from 1 species